rnacentral:rRNA from 1 species
UACGUAGGUGGCAAGCGUCGUCCGGAUUUACUGGGCGUAAAGAGCGCGCAGGCGGUCGUUCAAGUCGCGUGUGAAAGCCCCCGGCUCAACUGGGGAGGGUCACGCGAUACUGAUCGACUCGAAGGCAGGAGAGGGAAGUGGAAUUCCCGGUGUAGUGGUGAAAUGCGUAGAUGUCGGGAGGAACACCAGUGGCGAAGGCGACUCCUGGCCUGUUCUUGACGCUGAGGCGCGAAAGCUAGGGGAGCAAACGGGG